rnacentral:rRNA from 1 species
CCUACGGGAGGCAGCAGUGAGGAAUAUUGGUCAAUGGACGAGAGUCUGAACCAGCCAAGUAGCGUGAAGGAUGACUGCCCUAUGGGUUGUAAACUUCUUUUAUAUGGGAAUAAAAUGUUCCACGUGUGGGAUUUUGUAUGUACCAUAUGAAUAAGGAUCGGCUAACUCCGUGCCAGCAGCCGCGGUAAUACGGAGGAUCCGAGCGUUAUCCGGAUUUAUUGGGUUUAAAGGGAGCGUAGGUGGAUUGUUAAGUCAGUUGUGAAAGUUUGCGGCUCAACCGUAAAAUUGCAGUUGAAACUGGCAGUCUUGAGUACAGUAGAGGUAGGCGGAAUUCGUGGUGUAGCGGUGAAAUGCUUAGAUAUCACGAAGAACUCCGAUUGCGAAGGCAGUUCACUGGACUUCAACUGACACUGAGGCUCGAAAGUGUGGGUAUCAAACAGGAUUAGAUACCCGUGUAGUC